UACCAGGUGUGGUACCAGUGC
rnacentral:siRNA from 1 species